GACGAACGCUGGCGGCGUGCUUAGCACAUGCAAGUCGAACGGUAAGGCUCCAGCUUGCUGGGGUACACGAGUGGCGAACGGGUGAGUAACACGUGGGUGACCUGCCCUGCACUUCGGGAUAAGCCUGGGAAACUGGGUCUAAUACCGGAUAGGACCGCACCGUGAGGGUGUGGUGGAAAGUUUUUCCGGUGUGGGAUGGGCCCGCGGCCUAUCAGCUUGUUGGUGGGGUAAUGGCCUACCAAGGCGGCGACGGGUAGCCGGCCUGAGAGGGUGGACGGCCACAUUGGGACUGAGACACGGCCCAGACUCCUACGGGAGGCAGCAGUGGGGAAUAUUGCACAAUGGGCGGAAGCCUGAUGCAGCGACGCCGCGUGGGGGAUGACGGCCUUCGGGUUGUAAACUCCUUUCACCAUCGACGAAGGGUUUCUGACGGUAGAUGGAGAAGAAGCACCGGCUAACUACGUG
rnacentral:rRNA from 1 species